rnacentral:misc_RNA from 1 species
GAUAAGAACGUAGCGAAAUGCGAUAAGUAAUGCGAAUUGCAGAAUUCAGUGAAUCAUCGAAUCUUUGAACGCACAUUGCGCCCGCUAGUAUUCUGGCGGGCAUGCCUGUCUGAGCGUCAUUUCAACCCUCGCCCCCGGCUUUUGCUGGGAGCGGUGUUGGGGAUCGGCCGCCCGUCACUGGGAGGCCGGCCCCGAAAUAGAGUGGCGACCACGCCGUGUGCUCCUCUGCGUAGUAGUAAAUCACCUCGCAGGCGGACAGCGGUGCGGCCUGCCGUAAAACCCCCAACUCUUUCUGGUUGACCUCAGAUCAGGUAGGAAUACCCGCUGAACUUAAGCAUAUCAAUAAGCGGAGGA